GCGAGGGUGGUGGAAUUGGUAGACACGCUGGACUUAGGAUCCAGUGGCUGAUGCCGUAGGGGUUCGAGUCCCCUCCUUCGCACCA
rnacentral:tRNA from 1 species